AGAGUUUGAUCCUGGCUCAGAGCGAACGCUGGCGGCAGGCUUAACACAUGCAAGUCGAGCGGGCGUAGCAAUACGUCAGCGGCAGACGGGUGAGUAACGCGUGGGAACGUACCUUUUGGUUCGGAACAACACAGGGAAACUUGUGCUAAUACCGGAUAAGCCCUUACGGGGAAAGAUUUAUCGCCGAAAGAUCGGCCCGCGUCUGAUUAGCUAGUUGGUGAGGUAACGGCUCACCAAGGCGACGAUCAGUAGCUGGUCUGAGAGGAUGAUCAGCCACAUUGGGACUGAGACACGGCCCAAACUCCUACGGGAGGCAGCAGUGGGGAAUAUUGGACAAUGGGCGCAAGCCUGAUCCAGCCAUGCCGCGUGAGUGAUGAAGGCCCUAGGGUUGUAAAGCUCUUUUGUGCGGGAAGAUAAUGACGGUACCGCAAGAAUAAGCCCCGGCUAACUUCGUGCCAGCAGCCGCGGUAAUACGAAGGGGGCUAGCGUUGCUCGGAAUCACUGGGCGUAAAGGGUGCGUAGGCGGGUCUUUAAGUCAGGGGUGAAAUCCUGGAGCUCAACUCCAGAACUGCCUUUGAUACUGAGGAUCUUGAGUUCGGGAGAGGUGAGUGGAACUGCGAGUGUAGAGGUGAAAUUCGUAGAUAUUCGCAAGAACACCAGUGGCGAAGGCGGCUCACUGGCCCGAUACUGACGCUGAGGCACGAAAGCGUGGGGAGCAAACAGGAUUAGAUACCCCCGUAGUCC
rnacentral:rRNA from 1 species